AUUGAACGCUGGCGGCAGGCCUAACACAUGCCAGUCGAACGGUAACAGGAAGAAGCUUGCUUCUUUGCUGACGAGUGGCGGACGGGUGAGUAAUGUCUGGGAAACUGCCUGAUGGAGGGGGAUAACUACUGGAAACGGUAGCUAAUACCGCAUAACGUCGCAAGACCAAAGAGGGGGACCUUCGGGCCUCUUGCCAUCGGAUGUGCCCAGAUGGGAUUAGCUAGUAGGUGGGGUAACGGCUCACCUAGGCGACGAUCCCUAGCUGGUCUGAGAGGAUGACCAGCCACACUGGAACCGAGACACGGUCCAGACUCCUACGGGAGGCAGCAGUGGGGAAUAUUGCACAAUGGGCGCAAGCCUGAUGCAGCCAUGCCGCGUGUAUGAAGAAGGCCUUCGGGUUGUAAAGUACUUUCAGCGGGGAGGAAGGGAGUAAAGUUAAUACCUUUGCUCAUUGACGUUACCCGCAGAAGAAGCACCGGCUAACUCCGUG
rnacentral:rRNA from 1 species